GACUGGUCUGAGUGCAGUGGUGUUUAGUGUUUACAACUGAUCUCAAGCAGUUAGAGAUUCCUUUGUUCCUUCUCCACUCUCACUGCUUCACUUGACUAGCCUUAA
ensembl:misc_RNA Y_RNA Y RNA